UUNUGAACUGGGUGACUAGAGUGUNUCAGAGGGAGGUAGAAUUCCACGUGUAGCAGUGAAAUGCGUAGAGAUGUGGAGGAAUACCGAUGGCGAAGGCAGCCUCCUGGGAUANCACUGACGUUCAUGCCCGAAAGCGUGGGUAGCAAACAGGAUUAGAUACCCUGGUAGUCCACGCCCUAAACGAUGUCGAUUAGCUGUUGGGCAGCUUGACUGCUUAGUAGCGAAGCUAACGCGUGAAAUCGACCGCCUGGGGAGUACGGUCGCAAGAUUAAAACUCAAAGGAAUUGACGGGGACCCGCACAAGCGGUGGAUGAUGUGGAUUAAUUCGAUGCAACGCGAAGAACCUUACCUGGUCUUGACAUGUACGGAACCCUCCAGAGACGGAGGGGUGCCUUCGGGAGCCGUAACACAGGUGCUGCAUGGCUGUCGUCAGCUCGUGUCGUGAGAUGUUGGGUUAAGUCCCGCAACGAGCGCAACCCUUGUCAUUAGUUGCCAUCAUUAAGUUGGGCACUCUAAUGAGACUGCCGGUGACAAGCCGGAGGAAGGUGGGGAUGACGUCAAGUCCUCAUGGCCCUUAUGACCAGGGCUUCACACGUCAUACAAUGGUCGGUACAGAGGGUAGCCAAGCCGUGAGGUGGAGCCAAUCUCACAAAACCGAUCGUAGUCCGGAUUGCACUCUGCAACUCGAGUGCAUGAAGUCGGAAUCGCUAGUAAUCGCAGGUCAGCAUACUGCGGUGAAUACGUUCCCGGGUCUUGUACACACCGCCCGUCACACCAUGGGAGUGGGGGAUACCAGAAGUAGGUAGGGUAACCGCAAGGAGCCC
rnacentral:rRNA from 1 species